GUGAACUUUAAAGUCGAAUCAAGAAUCAAUUUGUCUUUUCCUGAUACAGCGUUCCAGCUCUGUGAUUCACUUUUAGUAAAUAUAUAGUAUGUAUCCUAGAUGCUACCUCGGUUAAUGGUAGCAUUUACCUCUCCAUUGGCAACGCCAAGCUGGCUGCUGACGAUUUCAGGCUCAAGAUCCAGCCUUCGCCUCUGGUCGUCCGGCACCACGGGGGGCUCCUCAGGCGCCAGGGCAGGAAUGCUGGCGGUGCGGGCAGCCCGGCCACUUCCGGCGGGAGUGUCCCAUGAUGGAGGUCGGACAGUUGGUCCGGGUUGCGGGACUGCCAGUUGCCUCCCCCGGUUUAGA